UACGGAGGGUGCAAGCGUUAUCCGGAAUUACUGGGCGUAAAGCGCGCGCAGGCGGAUAUUUAUGUUGGGCGUGAAAUCUCCCGGCCUAACUGGGAGGGGUCGCUCAAAACUGGGUGUCUUGAGGACUGCAGAGGUAGGUGGAAUUCCUGGUGUAGUGGUGAAAUGCGUAGAGAUCAGGAGGAACACCGGUGGCGAAGGCGGCCUACUGGGCAGUCUCUGACGCUGAGGCGCGAAAGCUCGGGGAGCGAACGGG
rnacentral:rRNA from 1 species